GGGUCUGUAGCUCAGCUGGUUAGAGCACCGUCUUGAUAAGGCGGGGGUCGUUGGUUCGAGACCAACCAGACCCACCA
rnacentral:tRNA from 1 species